rnacentral:rRNA from 1 species
GGAAGCAGUCUGAUGGAGCACGCCGCGUGAGUGAAGAAGGUUUUCGGAUCGUAAAGCUCUGUUGUUGGUGAAGAAGGAUAGAGGCAGUAACUGGUCUUUAUUUGACGGUAAUCAACCAGAAAGUCACGGCUAACUACGUGCCAGCAGCCGCGGUAAUACGUAGGUGGCAAGCGUUGUCCGGAUUUAUUGGGCGUAAAGCGAGCGCAGGCGGAAUGAUAAGUCUGAUGUGAAAGCCCACGGCUCAACCGUGGAACUGCAUCGGAAACUGUCAUUCUUGAGUGCAGAAGAGGAGAGUGGAACUCCAUGUGUAGCGGUGGAAUGCGUAGAUAUAUGGAAGAACACCAGUGGCGAAGGCGGCUCUCUGGUCUGCAACUGACGCUGAGGCUCGAAAGCAUGGGUAGCGAACAGGAUUAGAUACCCUGGUAGUCCAUGCCGUAAACGAUGAGCGCUAGGUGUUGGGGACUUUCCGGUCCUCAGUGCCGCAGCAAACGCAUUAAGCGCUCCGCCUGGGGAGUACGACCGCAAGGUUGAAACUCAAAGGAAUUGACGGG